rnacentral:rRNA from 1 species
AUACGUAGGGGGCGAGCGUUGUCCGGAAUGAUUGGGCGUAAAGGGCGCGUAGGCGGCCUGUUAAGUCUGGAGUGAAAGUCCUGUUUUCAAGAUGGGAAUUGCUUUGGAUACUGAUGGGCUUGAGUGCAGGAGAGGUUAUCGGAAUUCCCGGUGUAGCGGUGAAAUGCGUAGAGAUCGGGAGGAACACCAGUGGCGAAGGCGGGUAACUGUACUGCAGCUGACGCUGAGGCGCGAAAGUGUGGGGAGCAAACAGGAUUAGAUACCCUGGUAGUCCACACUGUAAACGAUGAAUGCUAGGUGUAAGAGGUAUCGACCCCUUUUGUGCCGGAGUUAACACAAUAAGCAUUCCGCCUGGGGAGUACGGCCGCAAGGUUGAAACUCAAAGGAAUUGACGGGG